CCUACGGGAGGCAGCAGUGAGGAAUAUUGGACAAUGGGCGGAAGCCUGAACCAGCCAAGUAGCGUGCGGGAUGAAGGCCCUACGGGUCGUAAACCGCUUUUGCACGGGGAUAACACCCUCCACUUGUGGAGGUCUGCAGGUACCGUGCGAAGACGGGCCGGCUAAUUCCGUGCCAGCAGCCGCGGUUAUACGGAAGGACAGAGCGUUAUCCGGAUUCAUUGGGCUUAAAGGGGGCGUAGGCGGGCGUUCAAGGCAGCUGUAAAAUCGCGCGGCUCAACCGCGCCCCGCAGUUGAAACUGGACGACUUGAGUUCACAACAGGCAGGCGGAAUUUGUGGUGUAGCGGUGAAAUGCAUAGAUAUCACGAGGAACCCCGAUUGCGAAGGCAGCCUGCCGGGGUGCGACUGACGCUGAGGCUCGAAGGUGCGGGUAUCAAACAGGAUUAGAUACCCUAGUAGUC
rnacentral:rRNA from 1 species